CGGCUCUCUCCCCUUAGCGACAGGCCCCGCCCCCCGGCAACGGCCCGAGCCUGUGUUUGCUCCGCUCGGGGGGGGCUCGGUUUGGGUGUUUUCUCUCCCCCCCCCCUCCCGCGCCGGGAGCUCCAGGCGGCUCCCGUACGGCUCCCGGGGCCUUCCCCCCUCGGGGGGCUCGGCCCGCCCCUUUCGCGGGGCGCUGUGGGAAGGGCGGGGGCGGGGCCCGGGGGUCGAAGAGCCCCAGCCGGGGCUCGGGCAGCUCUCGCUGCCCCCGGGCUCCUCUGGCGCCGGGGCUCCCGUGUUCCCUCGGGCGGUCGCAGCUCUGGGGCUGUCUCAGCCCCCCGGGCAGGCGUGCUCUGGCGUUUAGAGAAGCGGAGGCGUUGCCUGAGGUGUUGCCUUGGCCUCUCAACAGCCGAGGCACAACCUACAGCGAUGCUGCCUCUCCAGGCCCCCGCAGGCCCCGCUUUCUUGCCCGGCCAGGCGGGAAAGCGUGGUUGUUGCAGAAACAGCUGCGCCCUGCGACUCCUCCCCAGGUUGUUGGCUUGGCCCCAACAGCGUACAGGCUGCUGAGCUCACCGCCUCCGCGCGGGACGCAGGCGGCCCGGAGGGCUUUACCCCGCGCCAUUUCCGUCCCCUCUGGGCAGCAGCGGAUCCGCCGCUCGAGGGCGAGGAGCUGGGCCGACAACGGGCCGCUGCAGACUCUGGUCAGGGUACGAGGCUGCUCCCUGGGGAGCCGGCGCAGGGGGCGCGGAGGUACGCGCGGGCACUUGUCGGUGCCCCGGACCAGUGAAGGGGAGGUUAAAUUGUUAGAGUGCAAAUAAAUACAUAUUAUUUAGGGAGGAGUCGUGACUCAAUUUAAUCGCAGCUAUUACUGAACAAACCAGGCAGUCAUUAUUCCUAAUCUGUAAUUAAAAAAAAAUAAAGGCAGUCCUUUUUUAUGCCAUAAAUAGAGUUGCGAGUCAUUAAUAGCUCAAUCUAAAUACAGCUGUUAUUAAAUCAACUGCAGGCAUUAAUGACUCCUGAUCAGAAACAAAAUAAGGACAGUUUUAGAAUCUACAAUGAAAAUUGAACUGGAAAGCUAAACUGGGAGCAGGUAAUACUGAAAUUGUAACAGGGCUGUUAGAAAGUUCAGAGGCAGCGACAGCUCCUGCUUCCAACCCAAGCAGUAAACGAAGCUUUGGGUUCUUAAAUGAAGAGAAAUAAAGGUGAGCUGUUAAACAGUGGCUGGGGUCAAGCGUAGCUAUUAAGAAAAUUUGCAGGUGCGGGUGAUUCCUGACCAGAACUAACAAUUCCAGAAGAUUUAUAUUUAAAAACUACAGAGCUAAUGGAGUGCCAUAACCGCCCGGAUGUCACCGCAGCCGCUUUGGGGGAAUGCCCCAGCCCCCCCAGCCACCGCUAUUAAUUACUGCCAAGGAGAGCGAGAGUGAAAGUAGAAGCAGUGCAGGUGAAAUGCGAGCAGUACGCUUUUUCCUAAGUCAUCCCUUCGUGUCAGGAGAGGAAAGAAAAUGGAAAGAAGAUGUUUGCAGGGGGUCUGUGCUGGGUUACCUGCGCGUCUCUUCCGUGCAUCCUUGAGGAGACAUUUAGCUCCUGUUGGGUGCUCGCAGGUGGGGACAGGGCGAGCUGGAGGCAGGAUCGGUGCCGGCACUGAUAAAGGGAUGGGCAACGAGCUGAGAGAAGAGGGGGCAAGGGCUGAAAAUGGGUCACCGGUUCUGCAGGGAAGGCAGCGGGAUGUGACUCGGCAACCGCUCUGACGAGUGCAGGGUCAUUCGCUGCGAUGAAGUCGGGGUCUGUGGCUGGCCCGGAGAGGCAGCAGAAAUCCCAAACUCUUUGCGGGGGUACCGGCCAGAUUAGGGCAACACCUGAACAGUAAAACCAUUUAGGGGAAGCAGAGCUGGGCUGCACCGCGUGGCCAACCUCCCUCUUCUCCGUGAGUCCCAAAGGGGCAGCUCCAAGAAUGUGCUGAGAAUUCAUCCCUUGCGCUAAAAAUGAGACGGCAACUUCUGUUCCCGAGGUGGUGCCUACAGUACAGCUAUCUCUUCGAAGGCAGUUUGGUUUAGGUCAGAGAAUGUUUAGCCUGGACUGAAUCAGCCUCUGUUUCUAUUUCUGGAAAUCGUCGGUCCUGUGCAUCAAGCCCGGAAAAAAGGAAAUAUGAACCAAAGGACCUGGGGCCUGCAGGGCUAGGAAAAUAUUUGAGAAGAGGUUCAGCGGGGAAAUGACUGUUUGUCUGUGGGGCGUCCAGGCAAGCAACCCAGCUGCUAGAAAGCGGCGCUGUCCCCAGGAUGGCCUCGGCGGUCCCGUCGGAGUCGGGGGAACAAGGACAAGGCAGGGUGAAGCAUCUGGCCUGCCAUGUGGACCGUGACUGUACAAAGCACGUGUGAUGCACUGCAAGUUUACCUGUUUAAACUGUGAGUUAAAGAAGGUGUGCAGUUGCUUUGUAAACAGCCGACGCUCUAAAGCUACACCCAUCUAAUUGCUAGCUGUAUUAAAUCUAUCGUAUUGCUGUUUCUGCAUUAAAAAAGAAAAAACCAACA